GGGCUCAGCGCCGCGCCGGCACCCUCUCCCCCGCCGGCUGCGGCAGCGCCCUUUAAUACCCAUCACUUCUUUUUCUCCCCCACCCCCCCACCCCUUUCCCUUUUUUUUUUCCUUUUUUUUUUUUUUUUUUUUUUUUUUUUUGGUUUUCCACCCUACCCGCCAGCUCGCUGUUCUCUCUUUUCGAUUCACUUGAGUUGCAGGUUUGUUUGUCCGUUUGGGUUUUUUCCUUUUUUUUUUUUUUUUUUUUCUCCCCGUUUUGGCUGUCCCGCUCUCUCCACCCUCGAUUUUUAGCUAGUUGUAGCAACUUGCUUCUUUUUUAUUGUUGAUAUUUUUGUCACUGACGGCUCCCGGGCUUUUUUCGAUUGCAAGUCGUCCUUGCAGUCCGGUUUUUAACUGCAUUUUGUCUGUAGAUCUUCCCUUUGUUUGCACACAUCCCCCUUUUUAUUUUUUUUAAUUUUGUUGUUGUUGUUGUGCGUUGUUAAAGUCACUCUUUUUUGGGGGCGCUGUAUUUAAACACUUAAAAUGCACUGCUAUCUCCUGAGCGUGUUUCUCACCCUGGAUCUGGCCACCGUGGCUUUCAGCCUGUCUACCUGCAGCACCCUCGACAUGGAUCAGUUUAUGCGCAAGAGGAUCGAGGCGAUCCGGGGGCAGAUCUUGAGCAAACUGAAGCUCACCAGCCCCCCGGACGAGUACCCCGAGCCCGAGGAGGUGCCCCCGGAGGUCAUCUCCAUCUACAACAGCACCAGGGACCUGCUGCAAGAGAAAGCCAACCACAGAGCCGCCACUUGCGAAAGGGAGAGGAGCGACGAGGAGUAUUAUGCCAAAGAAGUUUACAAAAUAGACAUGCAGCCUUUUUACCCUGAAAAUGCCAUCCCACCAAGCUAUUACAGCCUUUACUUCAGAAUCGUAAGAUUUGACGUCUCAGCGAUGGAGAAAAACGCUUCCAACUUGGUGAAGGCAGAGUUUAGAGUCUUCCGACUGCAGAACUCAAAGGCACGGGUAUCGGAACAACGAAUAGAACUGUAUCAGGUUCUAAAAUCCAAAGAAUUAUCAUCACCAGGACAGCGCUACAUUGAUAGCAAAGUAGUUAAAACCAGAGCUGAAGGAGAAUGGCUAUCUUUUGAUGUCACUGAGGCUGUACAUGAAUGGCUCCAUCACAGAGACAGGAACCUUGGAUUUAAGAUAAGUUUACAUUGUCCGUGCUGCACCUUCGUGCCUUCCAAUAAUUAUAUCAUCCCAAAUAAAAGUGAGGAGCUUGAAGCAAGAUUUGCAGGUAUUGAUGACUACACAUAUUCCAGUGGUGAUGUGAAAGCUUUAAAGUCCAAUAGGAAAAAAUACAGUGGGAAGACCCCACAUCUUCUGCUAAUGUUAUUACCCUCCUACAGACUUGAGUCGCAACAGCCCAGUCGGCGGAAGAAGCGUGCUCUAGAUGCUGCCUAUUGUUUUAGGAAUGUUCAGGAUAAUUGCUGCCUGCGUCCACUUUAUAUUGACUUCAAGAGGGAUCUUGGCUGGAAAUGGAUUCAUGAACCUAAAGGGUAUCAUGCUAAUUUCUGUGCAGGAGCAUGCCCGUAUUUAUGGAGCUCAGAUACUCAGCAUAGCAGAGUACUCAGCUUGUAUAACACCAUAAAUCCAGAAGCUUCUGCCUCUCCGUGCUGUGUGUCCCAGGAUUUAGAGCCCCUCACCAUCCUCUACUACAUUGGCAAAACGCCCAAAAUCGAACAGCUGUCCAACAUGAUCGUAAAGUCUUGCAAAUGCAGCUAAAGAAUGCCCCGAAACAGCAUGAUGUGUGUGUAUUAAAAAAAAAAAUACCAAGGAAAAAAGAAAGAGAGAGAAAGAAAGAAAGAAAAAUGAAAACCCAGGUUCAUCAGUGUUAAAAGAAAAAAAAAAGAAGAAGAAAAAAAGCGACAUUUAAACAGAUGGACAGGGAGCAAGAUUUUUCAAGAAAAGAUGUCCCAGCCUGAGUGAGGCGAGGCAGACCCUUACAGAGAAUGACAUUCACCACUGUGCAGAAGGCUAGGACGAAGCGGAUGCCUCAGCAGUGCCUUCAGAGCAGGGCUCGAGUGGGAACGUUAUCCACGCAAAGGCCUCGUGGCGGCCUGUCGCUCAGCAGGGACUUUCACCUGCGGUUAGGCUCUAGGACUGAACCCGCUCCUAUUGCAGUUAAGAGGUUUGCCUUUAACUUCUCUAAGGGCACGGCAAGCCCCUGAAGGCGAUCGGUGCACGUAAGGAAUUGCAGGAUCGGCCCCUUGAUUUUGUGAGCUUUGUCAAAAAAAGGUUUUUUUUAAUUGAGUUCACAUAAAAAGCUUUACUGUUUUUUUUUUUUUCAAAAGGAAAAAGAAACAGGUUCCUAGAAUGUUUUCGUACAUGCUUAAAAAAUCUACAGCAUUCAUUUAAUUUUAAAAAAUCCCUAAACUCAAUAAGCCAAAAAAUCACGAAGAGGAAACGUUCAGUUCAUUUCACAUGAUGAAUGGUUUUGAGUGGCAAAGCUCGAAAACUGUGCUAGAAACAAACUACUUGGAUGAGAAGGACAUUUUCUGUCAUUGACCUAAAUGGUAUCAGGAAGACGCUCCUGGGCUUUAUGUUGUUAGCUCCAGUUUUAAGAAGUGCAAUUUCUUUACCUUCAGCAGAACACUGAUGUAAAACUGAAGUGCCGCAGUGGCUUGCACACAUUGCUCCUCUGGACUUCAGUAGAGCCUAUGCUUUUUGCCUAGAUGGAAAUGUAGCCCCACAGAUGGUCUAAUCCCACGCAUUGACUCAGCGCAGAGGAGGAGGUAUGUUAGACUUUUGAUUUAUUUAGUGAGUUAAGAUUCACAAGUGAAAAAUCUGUCCUGCUAAUACUUGUGUGAGCCAGAUUUACUCCAACGAGAAGAUGCACUGAACUCAGUGAAACUCCUCAGGGUAGUAAAUACUCUGGAUGUUGCUGUACACAGCAGCAAAAGUAGUUUUAUCAGGUUCAGUAUGAGAAAUGUAUUUUUGUUGGGCAGGAAAUGGAGCAAGAAUGAACACAUUUUAAAAAACUUAAAAACAUUUUUGCAAUUCUCUACCAUGUGAAUGCAGCUCAAAGCCAGUUUUGAGCUUGCUGAUUUGAAAAAGUGGAAUACGAGAUCCCGUGGUUGUCCAACUCUACUCACUAUGCGCUGGACGCAGCUGAAAUUUUUGAUUUGGAUUUGGAGUUUUUGUUCUCUGAAUCUAAGUAUGAAACCUUUUUUCUUUAAGUCCUUACCCCAGAAUCAGAUAUAUUUUUGUUUUUACUUUUUUUCCUCAGAAAUGCACUGGUAGUAUUUGAAAUACUCUAUUAUAAAGGUCCUGCAACCUGGGGGUUGGGAGGUGGUGGAGAAUUAACUGUGUAUUUCCCUUUAGUUAUCAAGGAUGUUAGGCCUGAUCCUACAAUGUGCAGAGCUCCUGGAUGAAAUUCCCCUCUACAGAGUGGGAUAUUGUGAGGCCUAAGCGCCCCUUGGUUCUGAUGUAAAUCCCCCCCGAACGACGUUAGAUGGGACAAGCUCAAAGACCUUGUACCAGUGGCUUUCUUAUGAAGAGAGAAUUACCCAGCAGUAAUUACCUCUCAGCAAAGUCACUAAGACCUGGUGAUACCCAACAUUUGGCAGGAAAUGUUCAGCCCCUUGAAAGAUCAGACCCAAAGGGGUUACGUAGGGCUGAGGGGGAAUCUUAGCACCUAGCGGAGUGGGUUAGACAGCAUUUUUUGUGUCUUUAACAACAAUACAAUUGUAUGGUUGGCAUGGUUUAAAGGAAAAAAGAAAAAGCAACAUAAGGACAGCUGUGUUGUACUUUGGUGAUCGAUUACUCUGUAUUUUAACACAUUGUAUGUCUGUUUUUGUGGUGCUCUAGUGGUAAAUAAAUUAUUUCAAUUGUA